CUAAGAAUAUUCCGCAAUGGACGGAAGUCUGACGGAGCGACGCCGCGUGGAUGACGAGGGCCGAAAGGUUGUAAAGUUCUUUUGCUGGGGAAGAAUAACCGCAGGAGGGAAUGCCUGUGGGAUGACAAGAACCGGCGAAUAAGCCCCGGCCAACUACGUGCCAGCAGCCGCGGUAACACGUAGGGGGCGAGCGUUGUUCGGAAUUACUGGGCGUAAAGGGCAUGUAGGCGGCUUGGAAAGCCUGGCGUGAAAGUCUGCAGCUUAACUGCAGGGGUGCGCUGGGAACUGCUGAGCUUGAGUGACGGAGAGGGAGCUGGAAUUCCUGGUGUAGGGGUGAAAUCUGUAGAUAUCAGGAAGAACACCGAUGGCGAAGGCAAGCUCCUGGCCGAUGACUGACGCUGAGGUGCGAAAGUGUGGGGAUCAAACAGGAUUAGAUACCCUGGUAGUCCACACAGUCAACGAUGUGCACUAGGUGCUGGGGCGGUAGCUUCGGUGCCGGAGCGAACGUGGUAAGUGCACCGCCUGGGGAGUAUGCUCGCAAGGGUGAAACUAAAAGGAAUUGACGGGGUCAUAGCUGUUUCCU
rnacentral:rRNA from 1 species